GCUACAUGGGUAUCCAGAAUGGUUUACUGAAUUAAAACAGAAAAAGGGCAAGGCUAAGCAAAACACAGUAGCUAAUGUGUAUGAGGAGAUACCUGAAUGCAAAGGCAAGACAGAUCACAAGAAUGAAGCAACAGGAGUUGAUUGGGCAAGCAUAGUCCAGCUUGAAAUUGCCAAAUACAUGCAGAAUCAGAAUCCUAUAAGCGAGAGAAGGAGCGAGAAAA
rnacentral:misc_RNA from 1 species